CUGCGCGUCCGGAGCCUGUGCUCCGCAACGGGAGAGGCCACAACAGUGAGAGGCCCGCGUACCGCAAAAAAAAAACAAAAACGAAUGACCCUUCAUUAUUAGGGAUUUUUCCCUGAAGGAUGUCCCAUGAGUUGCCAUGGACAGUAUUUCCACAGUCCCCAGCUAUGGUGUUACAGUCCCCAUAGCUGAAUUGCUGAGGCUUGAGCCUUGCCCAAGCCCUUUGAGUUCCAAAGUGGAGUGAGGGAGGCAUGCAAGGACGUUGGGGAGAUAAUGUCAUGACCCUCCUUAUUUCAUGCUGAGCAUACUGUGGGUCACUGGCAGGGCUCUAAUCACUUAGCUGUGCCCCUGUCGGCUUCUGCCUAGCUAGUCCUACAGCAGGAGAGCCCUUUGGGAGACCAGUUGCUGCUUUCAACUCUGCUUCCCUGGGCUGGCAUUAGUGCCUUAAACAUGGAUUCUCCACUGCAGUGGGUGCACCACCGGCUCAGAAACAGCCACCUUUGUGCCAGCGAACCAUUUCCUGUUUUAAAUUUACCAUCUUCCUCAGACACUAACGGGAUAAUCACACAUCAGCCAUAGGAUAUCUUUCUUCAAGGCUUUUACUUCAUUGCAAUAUAAUUACUGAUUGAAAAUAGAAUUUAUCAUCUUUAAUGGCACCUGAUACAUGGCAGACAUUCACUGUAUUUGUUCUGAACUAAUGUCAAACCAUUAUACAGUCAAAUGCGAGGUAAGCUUUGUUUUAGUAAAUCCUGGCUAAAGGAUUACUGGCUUUUGGGACCAUGGGGCUACACCUAAGUGUCACUGUACUCAAAUAUUGGCCAAGCAGCCUCAAAAGUACUACUGAAAUUUCAAACCCAAAUCAAUGAAGUAGAGACAAAUAUCACAGUCACAAAGAUUCACUGAGGAAACCGCUGACCAUGGGGUCAAAUGCAGGUCACUGAGCUAUUUGUGGCAUAUACUAAAGCACAGCUGUAAAUAGAGUAGCAACACAAAGGACUGUCUGGUCACCCCAGCAACUUCUAUGCAUUCAGCAGCUGCAGCAGCAAGGGUAUUCUUAUUCACACCAUUUGGAUAGAAUGAUGGGUCACAUGUCUGGCAACAGCGUCUUAUCACACAAAGGAAAAUAAUGCAUAGACAAUUCCUAGCAACUGGAUGCUGAUAUUAUUACUAGAUAACUUUUUUCUUUUUUAAAGAAACUGUGUUUUACUAAAGUUUUACUAACAAAUCUGAGAAUGUAUCUGUAUAUCCUUCUCCGGAUAUCUAGUAAUGUCCCAUGUGUUUAUGCAAAUCCCCUGUGGCAGGCCACCAAGUCUAGCUAUGUGCCACUGCUGGUGAUUUGCUAGUCUAAUUUCAGUAGGCUUGAAAGUACUCAGAUCUAAGUUAACUUAUAUUAAUUUUACUACUAAAAUUUUUUAAAUAGUUAUUGUAUUACAGCUAGUUGUGCUGAGAACUUUUUACCACAUUACAUUAUUCAAUUUUCACAAUAAUCAUAUGUUUAAAAAAAAAGACUAAGGUUAAAAAACUUGCAGUAAACAGCUCAUGAAUGGUACAAUUUAGUUCUGUCCGAUUUUAGAGCUCACAUUCCCGAUUUUAGAGCCCACAUUCCUUCAAAUUAAAUGAAGAGUAAAAGCUGUUCUUACCCAUAUAUCCAAAACCAAUGCUCAUACCUACUCCCUUGCAGAAAGCUCAGAGAGGCUCUGCAGCCCUGUUGCCCUUUUUUUUUUCCCUCUUAGCAAUAGAUCUCCAGAACUUAUUUUGCAUAACUGAAACUUGGUAACCUUUAACCAACACCUCCCCAUGUUCCCCUCCCCCAGCCUUUGGCAAUCUCCAUUCUGUCUCUGCUUCUAUGAGUUUGACUAUUUUAGAUUCCACACAUAACUUCUUUUUCUGGCUUAUUUCACUUAGCAUAAUGCCCUCAAGGUCCAUCUAUGUUGUUGCAAAUGGCAGAAUUCCCUUCUUUUUCCAAGGCUAAAUAAUAUUACACCUUAUGUACAUACCACAUUUUCUUUAUCCAUUUGUAUAUCAAUGGACAUUUGUUUCCCUGCCUUGGUGAUCAUGAAUAAUGCUGCAAGGAACGUGGGAGUGCGUUCAACUAUCAACUAUCUCUUUGAGAUCUAGAUUUCACUUCUGUUGGCUAUAUACCCAGAAAAGGGAUCACUGGAUCAAAUGGUAAUUCUAUUUUUAAUCUUUUGAGGAACCUCCAUAUUGUUUUCCAUAGUAGCUGCACCAAUUUACAUUCCCACAAAGUACAAGUGUUCCCUUUUCUCCACAUCCUUGCCAACAUUUAUUACAACACGGAUUGCUGGGCAUUUCUAUCAAGUUCCCUGGUCUAACAGGCGUGAGGUGGUAUCUCAUGCUUUUGAUUUGCAUUUCCCUGAUUAUUAGUGACAUUGAGCUCCUUUUCAUUCAUCUGUUGGCCAUUUGUAUGUCUUAUUUGGAGAAACAUCUAUUCAGGUCCUUUGCCCAUCUUUUAAUCGAGUUAUUUGGGGACUUUUUUGGCUAUUGAAUUAUAGGUGUUCCUUAUAUAUUUGAAUAUCAACUCCUUGUCAGAUAUAUGGUCUGCAAAUAUUUUCUCCUAUUGCGUAGGUUGCCUUUUCAUUUUGAUGGUUUCUUUUGCUGUGCAGAAGCUUUUUAGUUUUAUGUAGUCCCACUUGUCUUGUUUUGCUUUUGUUGCCUGUGCUUUUGAUGCCAUAUCAAAGAAAUCAUUGUGCAGUUCAAUGUCAGAAGCUUUUUCCCUACGUUUUCUUAGUCUUAUUGUUUCAGGGUUUGUAUUUAAGUCUUUGAUCCAUUUUGAGUUGAUUUUUGUAUAUGGUGUGAGAUAAUCCAAUUUUAUUCUUUUACAUGUGGAUAUCCAGUUUUCCCCACACCAUUUAUUGAAGAGACUCUUUUCCCCACUGAGUCUUCUUGGCUCCCUUGUCCAAUAUUAGUUGACCAUACAUAUAUGCCAGGGUUUAUUUCUGGUCUCUUUUAUUCUUUUUCAUAGUCUGUCUGUUUUUAUGCUAGUACUAUACUGUUUUUGAUUACAGUAGCUUUGUAAUACAUUUUAAAAUGAGGGAGCAUUUCAGCUUUGUUCUUCUUGCUCAGAAUUGCUUUGGCUAUUCGGGGUUUUUAUGGUUCCAAAUGAAUUUUUAAGAUUGUUUUUCUCUUCCUGUAAAAAUGUCAUUGGGAUUUUGAUAAGGAUUACACUGAAUCUAUAGAUCACUUUGGUAAAUACUGACGUUUUAACAAUAUUAAUUCUUCCUCUCCAUGAACACGGGACAUUGUUCCAUCUGUCUUUAUUUCUUUAGUCAGUGUUUUCUAGGUUUUAGUGUACAAGUCUAUCACCAUUUUGGUUAAUUUUAUUCCUAAGUAUUAUAUUCUUUUUUUUUACACUAUUGUAAAUGGAAUUUUCUUAAUUUCCUUUUGGUUGGUUUGUUUGUGGCCACCCAUGUGGUUUGUGGGAUCCUAGUUCCCUGACUCAGGAUUGAACCUGGACCUUCAGCAGUGAGAGUGCAGAUUCCUAACCACCAGACCGCCAUGGAAUUCCCCUUAAUUUCCUUUUUGGAUAGUUGUUUGUGUAUAGAAAUGCAGCUAGUUUUUGUAGGUUGAUUUUCGUGUCCUUUGACUUUACUGAAAUUGCCUAUUAGUUCUAACAAAUUAAAAUUAAGUUCUUGAAAUUAAACUGUAACACUAUGAACCUGGAAACCCUAUCAUAUACCCCGGCUUAUCAAAAAUUACUAUUUAAGGGAGUUAGAUCACCAUUUUAACUGAUCAUCUAUUGUGGUCUGGGCAUCAUGCUAAGUAUUUCAUGUGAACUGACUCAAUUAAUCUUCAUAAAAACCCUAUGAGGUAGGACUAUUGUUAUCUAUUUUCAAAUGAGAAAACUAAAGCUCAGAGAAGUCAGGUAACUUGCAUGUGGUCACACAGCCAGUUAGUGGUAGUCUGGAUUUAAACUCAGUCUGACUCUAAAGUUUGUGCUCUCUGCACCUUAUAAUACCUCUCCAACUCUCACUGAACCAACCUAUGACAUUUUAUUCAGUAAAUGCAGUGUUUUCCAAGUUCUUAAAAAGAUACUUAGCAAAAAUUUUAUGAGUUUAUGAUUUUAAGCAAUUAGAUGAAAAAUAUCAUGUAACAUGCCUUGAUCAAUUACUUCUUAUGAUGAAAUCAAAUUCUGCAGAGAUGAAAUUUAGUUUUCAGUUUGAGAAAUAGAAAUACUUGAAUGUAAUACAUUUUGGCAGUCUAGAAUUAUUAUGAUAUAGAUCAAGAAUCAGCAAACUAUGGCCCACAGCUCUAACCUGCCCUAUCACCUGUUUUUUAUAAAUAAAGUUUUAUUGGAACACAGCUUAUACCCAUUCUCUUACAUAUGAUCUAUGGCUACUUCUACUUCAUUAGCAGAGGUGAGUAGUUGCAACAGAGACUUUAUGGCUCACAAAGCCUAAAAUAUUUACUCUCUGGCCCUUCACAGAAAAAGCUUGCCAACUCCUGAUAUAGAUGUUUAGUUGGGAUAGGUUGAGGAAAACUCUGUAGGAUUGGCCAGGACCUAAUUAGAGAGUGAUGAGCAAGUCAUGGGAGAAUGUAACCUGUUAAUUGAAGCAACUUAAAAGCCAAGCCUAUAAAUAAUGCACCUCUCUUCAUACCUAGGGUAGAUUGUUACAGUAAUGAUCCCCAGUGACUCAUGCCUGGGUAUCCGGGCCCUUGUGCAACCCCUUCCCAAACUGACUCUUGGGCUUGGCCAUGUGACCUACCAGGGCCAAAUGGGACAGCAAACAUGAAGCCAGCAGAAGCAUGAACAGGUGCUUCCUUGUUGGGGCAUGCCCCCUUAGGUCUCAGCAUGGAAACAAGCCCAGAGUUAUAUCUCAGGAGAGACCACAUGAGGAACUGAGGUGUCCCAGUCCACAGUCCCAGCUACCCGCCAGACAGGUGCGUGAAGCCAUCUUGAACUAUCCAACACCAGCUGAGCCCCCAGAUAACUGCAGCCGCAAGUGACCCCAGGUGAGAUCCGAAGAACCACCGGCUGCACCCAGCUCAAACUGCAGAAUCAUGGACAAAUAUACAGUGGUUGUUUUAAGCCACUAGGCUUUGGGGUAUUUUUAUGCAGCAAGAGACACCUGAUGCAACACCCUAGAUGAAGGAAAUCUACUGAUGAGGGCUCAGGAGCAGUACCUGGGGGCAAGAAGACAUGUCUAAUUAAAAAGAAAGUGAAUUUUUAAAAUAUACACACCUGCGAGAUACAAACAAAUACAAUGAAGGGCCCAGGAUUUCCUUUUCUUUCAGACUCUUGAAGAAGAGAAAACCUUAGCAAAAACCUUUGGCUUUCUGUCUAGGAAAGGUUAAGUGCUAUAAAUAAACUCUUGUGUUUCUACAGAAUCCUUUUUAUCCCUAUCUGCCCAGACAGAGAAAGUGUCUCCUGCAUCCUGGUACGUUUUUCCUUUUGCCUCUUGGAGGAGUCAAAGGCUAAUGGGGAUUUGCUGGUAUGAGCCAAAUACCCGUGCCAAGCUAGCGGCUUUAUGGCAAAGUAACAUCUUAAAUAGUAUGGGGAGGGGGUGGAAAAAGGGGGCAGCACGGCAUGAAAUAAAGAAGAGCCACAAGGGCUGAGACUCUCAUCUGUGAUUCCCACGCUAACCGCCAGGUGAGCCAGUGCUGGCCUUCCUGCCAGACAUGAAGGCAAGGGGGCCCUCAAGCAUGGCCAGCAGGGUGUGGGCAUGAGAGCUGCAUCCGGAAUGGCAACAGCAGCAAAAGGUCCCUCACCCUUAAUUGUUUAUCACCUCCCAGCACUCUCAGUCAAGACCUGUGGAAUCGUUUCAAAGCAGCCUUCCUAAGACCCAAACCAGCCACAGCGGCUCCAGAAGCUAAAAUGCCUUGGGUUCCAGGGGCAAAAAGGGAGGUAGUGAGGAGAGCCAGUUCUCUAAAUUGUGAGUUCAUUGGUUCAUUCAACAAAUACUUAUUGCGGAUCUAUAUAUGUCAGGCCCCGUUGUGGGCACUGUAGCGAUAACAGUCAGCACUACGGACGUGACUCCUACCCAGAUAGGGCUUACAUCCUAGGAGGAGAGAAAAGACAACGGCUACUCCCUAAAUAAAACCAGUACAGAUGCUGACAUGUGCUGGAAGGAAGUGGACAAGCUGGGCUAGGGUACGCACGGUAGGGUGCUGGAGGACCUCCUGGCUCGCCUACGUCUUACUGGUUUCUGACGUUCAAGGUGUUUAUACCUUCGAGGGAAAUGCUUUGGCCUCAGGUAAGUAAAGCUCCACGUGGUUAGAUUUUUUCCGCAUUUCGGUUUAUUGUGUCGGGUAAUAUUGAUGCAGGCUAAGACAUGGGAGGGAGGUGGCGAAUGGCAGCAGCGCUGAGACCAGACAAGACGUUGAGCAGGCCCUCCGGUGUGGGGGGGGGGAUCGCCUGGCACCCCACUAAUGACCCUGCCUGCAGGGCAGGCAGGGCAGCAGUUCUCCAAGGCCAUCUCUCUGCGCUGUGUGUGCUCACUGAUCAAGCAGCAUCAGCAGCAGGGCCCUGCCCAAGCUAACUAGAUUGCCCUAAUGGGACCACGCGGGAGACAGAAGCUCAGCGCUCUCUGUAGGGAGCUACUAAUGCUUCCAAGUCCAGGGAGAGGUCGACCAGUGCUUGGCUUGCUUUACAAAAUAGGAACAAGGUCCCCAGGCUUUGUCACCUCAAGGAAGAUGUGCUUUCUAAUAUCUCCUCCUCACACUAAGCACAAAAUGCUAGAGAGUUGCUUGUCCUCUUUUUCUUAUCCCCUUUUCAUUUUGAAUGAACCAUUACAUAAAUCCUGUGUUCAUCUCAUUUCGGUAGCUGUGAGCUUACAUCUUGUUUCAUGUCAUUAUCAGCAAUUCUUUUCAUGAUGAUAAGAAUCAACACAAACCCCAGUUAAAACCUGGACAUCUGCCACCCAGUUGCCACAGACAACCGAACCACUCACCCAGGAGGUAUGGCUGAGGUUUGACGACGUGGAACAAAAAAGGGAAUUCUUCCUGAGGAUAAGCAAACCAACUGCGUAUAUUUUGGUUGUGUGACCCAGUGGAUUCUAUUUUAAAAAUUUAAACUCCCUCAUUUAAGAUUAAAGGUUGAGACUUAACAUACAGAUGACUUGCAUCCUAGAUAAACUUGUCCAGGAGCUCACACCCGGCUGAGCUGAAAUGUGAUUACCAGGAACUCAGACACAGUUCUCACACCAAUGAUAAACCAAGUUCCUUGUGUCCAUAAGUAAAUCCAUCCAACCAAAAUUGAAUUAAGAGGUCCUCAUUGCCCAAUCCUGCUUCCUCCCUUGAUGAUGCUUAAUGGGUCUAACAAGGAUCCAUUAAGACCACCCAGGCUGAGGCUUCCCUGGUGGCGCAGUGGUUAAGAAUCCUCCUGCCAAUACAGGGGACACGGGUUCGAGCCCUGGUCCAGGAAGAUCCCACAUGCCACAGAGCAGCUAAGCCCGUGCGCCACAACUACUGAGCCUGCGCUCUAGAGCCCGAGAGCCACAACUACUGAAGCCUACAUGGCUAGAGCCCGUGUUCUGCAACAAGAGACGCCACCGCAAUGAGAAGCCCACGUGCCGCAACGAAGUGUAGCCCCCGCUCGCCACAACUAGAGAAAGCCCAUGCACAGCAACAAAGACCCAACACAGCCAAAAAUAAAUAAAUAAAAUAGAUUUUUAAAAA